rnacentral:rRNA from 1 species
GAUCUCCCCCAACGAGUCCACAUCGACGGGGAGGUUUGGCACCUCGAUGUCGGCUCAUCGCAUCCUGGGGCUGUAGUCGGUCCCAAGGGUUGGGCUGUUCGCCCAUUAAAGCGGUACGCGAGCUGGGUUCAGAACGUCGUGAGACAGUUCGGUCCCUAUCCGUCGCGGGCGCAGGAAAUUUGAGAGGAGCUGUCCUUAGUACGAGAGGACCGGGAUGGACGCACCGCUGGUGUACCAGUUGUCCCGCCAGGGGCACCGCUGGGUAGCUAUGUGCGGAAGGGAUAAGCGCUGAAAGCAUCUAAGCGUGAAGCCCCCCUCAAGAUGAGAUUUCCCAUCGCGUCAAGCGAGUAAGAUCCCUCGAAGAUGACGAGGUCGAUAGGUCCGAGGUGGAAGCGUGGCGACACGUGGAGCUGACGGAUACUAAUCGAUCGAGGGCUUAACCAC